rnacentral:rRNA from 1 species
CAGAACGAACGCUGGCGGCGUGCUUAACACAUGCAAGUCGAACGCGAAAGGGACUUCGGUCCUGAGUAAAGUGGCGCACGGGUGAGUAACGCGUAGAUAACCUGUCUUCAUGUCUGGAAUAAUACGCCGAAAGGGGUACUAAUACCGGAUAUUCUUGCUUUUCAUAAGUUAUGCAAGCAAAGGUGGCCUCUGCAUAUGCUACUGCAUGAAGAGGGGUCUGCGUACCAUUAGCUAGUAGGUGGGGUAAUGGCCUACCUAGGCGACGAUGGUUAGCGGGUCUGAGAGGAUGAUCCGCCACACUGGCACUGGAACACGGGCCAGACUCCUACGGGAGGCAGCAGUGAGGAAUAUUGCGCAAUGGGGGAAACCCUGACGCAGCGACGCCGCGUGAGUGAGGAAGGCCUUCGGGUCGUAAAGCUCGGUCAAGAGGAAAGAAGUGUACAAUGGCUAAUACCUGUUGUAUUUGACGGUACCUCUAAAGGAAGCACCGGCUAACUCCGUGCCAGCAGCGGC